AGUGAACGCUGGCGGUAGGCCUAACACAUGCAAGUCGAACGGCAGCACAGUAAGAGCUUGCUCUUACGGGUGGCGAGUGGCGGACGGGUGAGGAAUACAUCGGAAUCUACUUUUUCGUGGGGGAUAACGUAGGGAAACUUACGCUAAUACCGCAUACGACCUACGGGUGAAAGCAGGGGAUCUUCGGACCUUGCGCGAUUGAAUGAGCCGAUGUCGGAUUAGCUAGUUGGCGGGGUAAAGGCCCACCAAGGCGACGAUCCGUAGCUGGUCUGAGAGGAUGAUCAGCCACACUGGAACUGAGACACGGUCCAGACUCCUACGGGAGGCAGCAGUGGGGAAUAUUGGACAAUGGGCGCAAGCCUGAUCCAGCCAUACCGCGUGGGUGAAGAAGGCCUUCGGGUUGUAAAGCCCUUCUGUUGGGAAAGAAAAGCAGCAGGUUAAUACCCCGCUGUUCCGACGGUACCCAAAGAAUAAGCACCGGCUAACUUCGUG
rnacentral:rRNA from 1 species